rnacentral:rRNA from 1 species
GACGAACGCUGGCGGCGUGCUUAACACAUGCAAGUCGAACGGAAAGGCCCUGCUUUUGUGGGGUGCUCGAGUGGCGAACGGGUGAGUAACACGUGAGUAACCUGCCCUUGACUUUGGGAUAACUUCUGGAAACUGGGGCUAAUACCGGAUAGGAGCUCCUGCUGCAUGGUGGGGGUUGGAAAGUUUCGGCGGGUGGGGAUGGACUCGCGGCUUAUCAGCUUGUUGGUGGGGUAGUGGCUUACCAAGGCUUUGACGGGUAGCCGGCCUGAGAGGGUGACCGGCCACAUUGGGACUGAGAUACGGCCCAGACUCCUACGGGGGGCAGCAGGGGGGAAUAUUGCACAAUGGGCGGAAGCCUGAUGCAGCAACGCCGCGUGCGGGAUGACGGCCUUCGGGUUGUAAACCGCGUUCGCCUGUGACGAAGCGUGAGUGACGGUAAUGGGUAAAGAAGCACCGGCUAACUACGUG